rnacentral:rRNA from 1 species
GAUGAACGCUGGCGGCGUGCUUAACACAUGCAAGUCGAACGGACCCAAUCUUCGGAACGGGUUAGUGGCAGACGGGUGCGUAACACGUAGGUGACCUGCCCUGGAGUGGGGAAUAACUCAGCGAAAGCUGGACUAAUACCGCAUACGCUCGGUAGUUCGAUCUGCCGAGCAAAGUCGCAAGACGCUCUGGGAUGGGCCUGCGGCGGAUUAGCUAGUUGGUGGGUAACGGCCUACCAAGGCGAUGAUCCGUAGGGGGCGUGAGAGCGUGGCCCCCCACACUGGCACUGAGAUACGGGCCAGACUCCUACGGGAGGCUG